rnacentral:snRNA from 1 species
GGGCUGGAGGGAUAGCGCAGCCGUUAAAGGCUAAGGCUAACAACCAAAAGAUGAAAGGUUCGGUUCCCAGCACCCACAAAUGAGUGCUGUCUCUUCAGCUACCGUUU